rnacentral:tRNA from 1 species
GUUGUGGCUCACUGGUAGAGCACUUGUCUAGCAUGUGCGAGAUACUGGGUUCGAUACUCAGCACCACA